CCGGACGCCCAAACGGGGCCGGUACGUUGAGCAGACGCCGGGAUGUCUUUGAACUCGGCGCUGUCUCGUAUCCAUGUUGCUUCAAGGAGGAUGUGGCUAUGAGAA
rnacentral:sRNA from 1 species